GUAGGGAAUCUUCCACAAUGGACGAAAGUCUGAUGGAGCAACGCCGCGUGAGUGAAGAAGGUCUUCGGAUCGUAAAACUCUGUUGUUAGAGAAGAACGUGCAUGAUAGUAACUGAUCAUGUAAUGACGGUAUCUAACCAGAAAGCCACGGCUAACUACGUGCCAGCAGCCGCGGUAAUACGUAGGUGGCAAGCGUUGUCCGGAUUUAUUGGGCGUAAAGGGAACGCAGGCGGUUUUUUAAGUCUGAUGUGAAAGCCUUCGGCUUAACCGAAGAAUAGCAUUGGAAACUGGAAGAAUUGAGUGCAGAAGAGGAGAGUGGAAUUCCAUGUGUAGCGGUGAAAUGCGUAGAUAUAUGGAGGAACACCAGUGGCGAAAGCGGCUCUCUGGUCUGUAACUGACGCUGAGGUUCGAAAGCGUGGGUAGCAAACAGGAUUAGAAACCCCAGUAGUCC
rnacentral:rRNA from 1 species